AUACAAAUCACUGAGGGAUCUUGUUAAAAUGCAGAGACUGAAACUGUGUGUCUGGAAGAAGACUAAGAUCCUGCAUUUCUAAUCAGCUCCCAGGUGAUGUUGAG
rnacentral:pre_miRNA from 1 species